UACGAGAGGCCCAAGCGUUAUUCGGAAUUACUGGGCUUAAAGAGUUCGUAGGCGGUUUGAAAAGUCGGGGGUGAAAGCCCUCGGCUCAACCGAGGAAUUGCGCUCUAAACUGUCGUACUCGAGGAACCUAGAGGUGAGCAGAACAGAUGGUGGAGCGGUGAAAUGCGUUGAUAUCAUCUGGAAUACCGGAGGCGAAGGCGGCUCGCUGGGACGUUACUGACGCUGAGACGCGAAAGCGUGGGGAGCAAACAGG
rnacentral:rRNA from 1 species